AGUGAACGCUGGCGGUAGGCCUAACACAUGCAAGUCGAACGGCAGCACAGUAAGAGCUUGCUCUUACGGGUGGCGAGUGGCGGACGGGUGAGGAAUACAUCGGAAUCUACUUUUUCGUGGGGGAUAACGUAGGGAAACUUACGCAAUACCGCAUACGACCUACGGGUGAAAGCAGGGGAUCUUCGGACCUUGCGCGAUUGAAUGAGCCGAUGUCGGAUUAGCUAGUUGGCGGGGUAAAGGCCCACCAAGGCGACGAUCCGUAGCUGGUCUGGGAGGAUGAUCAGCCACACUGGAACUGAGACACGGUCCAGACUCCUACGGGAGGCAGCAGUGGGGAAUAUUGGACAAUGGGCGCAAGCCUGAUCCAGCCAUACCGCGUGGGUGAAGAAGGCCUUCGGGUUGUAAAGCCCUUUUGUUGGGAAAGAAAAGCAGCAGGUUAAUACCCCGCUGUUCUGACGGUACCCAAAGAACAAGCACCGGCUAACUUCGUG
rnacentral:rRNA from 1 species